rnacentral:rRNA from 1 species
UACAGAGGGGGCAAGCGUUGUUCGGAAUUACUGGGCGUAAAGGGCGCGUAGGCGGCCUUCUAAGUCGAACGUGAAAUCCCCGGGCUCAACCCGGGAACUGCGUCCGAUACUGGAAGGCUUGAAUCCGGGAGAGGGAUGCGGAAUUCCAGGUGUAGCGGUGAAAUGCGUAGAUAUCUGGAGGAACACCGGUGGCGAAGGCGGCAUCUG